rnacentral:rRNA from 1 species
AGAAUCAACGCUGGCGGCGUGCCUAACACAUGCAAGUCGAACGAGAAAGUGGAGCAAUCCAUGAGUAAAGUGGCGACCGGGUGAGUAACACGUGACUAACCUACCCUCGAGUGUGGAAUAACAUCGGGAAACCGAUGCUAAUACCGCAUAACAUCGCAAGAUCAAAGGAGCAAUCCGCUUGAGGAGGGGGUCGCGGCUGAUUAGCUAGUUGGCGGGGUAACGGCCCACCAAGGCGAAGAUCGGUAGCCGGCCUGAGAGGGCGCACGGCCACACUGGAACUGAAACACGGUCCAGACUCCUACGGGAGGCAGCAGUGGGGAAUUUUGCGCAAUGGGGGAAACCCUGACGCAGCAACGCCGCGUGGAGGAUGAAGCCCCUUGGGGUGUAAACUCCUUUCGAUCGGGACGAUGAUGACGGUACCGGAUGAAGAAGCACCGGCUAACUCUGUGCCAGCAGCCGCGGUAAUACAGAGGGUGCAAGCGUUGUUCGGAAUUAUUGGGCGUAAAGGGUGCGUAGGCGGUGCGGUAAGUCUGUUGUGAAAUCUCCGGGCUCAACUCGGAGCCUGCAACGGAAACUGCCGUGCUGGAGUAUGGGAGAGGUGAGUGGGAUUUCCCGGUGUAGCGGUGAAAUGCGUAGAUAUCGGGAGGAACACCUGUGGCGAAAGCGGCUCACUGGACCAUUACUGACGCUGAUGCACGAAAGCUAGGGGAGCGAACAGGAUUAGAUACCCUGGUAGUCCUAGCCCUAAACGAUGAUCGCUUGGUGUGACAGGUACCCAAUCCUGUCGUGCCGGAGCUAACGCGUUAAGCGAUCCGCCUGGGGAGUACGGUCGCAAGGCUGAA